GAUCAUGGCUCAGAUUGAACGCUGGCGGCAUGCCUUACACAUGCAAGUCGAACGGUAACAGGUCUUCGGACGCUGACGAGUGGCGAACGGGUGAGUAAUACAUCGUAACGUGCCCAGUCGUGGGGGAUAACUACUCGAAAGAGUAGCUAAUACCGCAUACGACCUGAGGAUGAAAGCGGGGGACCUUCGGGCCUCGCGCGAUUGGAGCGGCCGAUGGCAGAUUAGGUAGUUGGUGGGAUAAAAG
rnacentral:rRNA from 1 species